GCGGCGAACGGGUGAGUAACACGUGAGCAACCUGCCCCUGACUCCGGGAUAAGCGGUGGAAACGCCGUCUAAUACCGGAUACGACCCGCCACCUCAUGGUGGAGGGUGGAAAGUUUUUCGGUCAGGGAUGGGCUCGCGGCCUAUCAGCUUGUUGGUGGGGUAACGGCCUACCAAGGCGAUUACGGGUAGCCGGCCUGAGAGGGCGACCGGCCACACUGGGACUGAGACACGGCCCAGACUCCUGCGGGAGGCAGCAGUGGGGAAUAUUGCGCAAUGGGCGAAAGCCUGACGCAGCGACGCCGCGUGGGGGAUGACGGCCUUCGGGUUGUAAACCUCUUUUACCACCAACGCAGGCUCCCAGUUCUCUGGGGGUUGACGGUAGGUGGGGAAUAAGGACCGGCUAACUACGUGCCAGCAGCCGCGGUAAUACGUAGGGUCCGAGCGUUGUCCGGAAUUAUUGGGCGUAAAGAGCUCGUAGGCGGCGUGUCGCGUCUGCUGUGAAAGACCGGGGCUUAACUCCGGUUCUGCAGUGGAUACGGGCAUGCUAGAGGUAGGUAGGGGAGACUGGAAUUCCUGGUGUAGCGGUGAAAU
rnacentral:rRNA from 1 species